rnacentral:rRNA from 1 species
GUUGAUCCUGCCAGUAUUAUAUGCUGAUGUUAAAGAUUAAGCCAUGCAUGUGUAAGUUUAAAGACCAAGUAGGAUGAAACUGCGGACGGCUCAUUAUAACAGUAAUAGUUUCUUUGGUUAGUCGGUACAAGGAUAACUUUGUGAAUGAUAAAGCUAAUACUUGAGACGAUCCGGGAAGUAAUUUACUUUCUGGCCGCUGGCCGCGAGGUUGGCGAGUAACGACAUUCUCUUGUGAAAAAGGAUGCCACGACAAUUGAGGAAAGCGACGCUUUUAACAAGUAACCAAUGGGAAUUUCUGAUCUAUCAAUUUGUUGGUAGUAUCGAGGACUACCAAGAUUAUAACGGAUAACGAGGAAUUGGGGUUCGACAUCGGAGAGGGAGCUUUACAGAUGGCUACCACUUCUAAGGAAGGCAGCAGGCGCGUAAAUUACCCACUUUCGACUUGAAGAGGUAGUGACGACAAAUAACUCUUGUUACCCGUAAGGGUGACUUGAAGGAAUGAUUUAGAAGUAAAUUCUCUAAAGAAAUCAAUUGGAGGGCAAGUCUGGUGCCAGCAGCCGCGGUAAUUCCAGCUCCAAUAGUG